AGUCUUCACACGGCAUGGAUUGUUAGGGGCACCACUCCAGUUUCGUCCAAUAACCGUACCAAGAAGAGCCAAAGGAAAAGAAAUGAAAGCCCAAAUAACAAAGACCACAACCAUCGUACCAAAAGGAAUGGCUGCUAGAGACCCAUAGAAUAUAGCAAUAGUGUUCAAGAUGAACCCAAUUCCAAAGCACAAAAAUGGAAAUAGAGAUGCUGUGAAGAUCAUUGAUUUUAUCCAGUUUUUACCCCCAUUGCGUGAGUACAUCCCAGCACUAACAUAACCAGAAAUGGAUGACGUAAGAGCAUAGCAUACUAUGAAAGUUGU
rnacentral:misc_RNA from 1 species